AGUGAACGCUGGCGGUAGGCCUAACACAUGCAAGUCGAACGGCAGCACAGUAAGAGCUUGCUCUUACGGGUGGCGAGUGGCGGACGGGUGAGGAAUACAUCGGAAUCUACUUUUUCGUGGGGGAUAACGUAGGGAAACUUACGCUAAUACCGCAUACGACCUACGGGUGAAAGCAGGGGAUCUUCGGACCUUGCGCGAUUGAAUGAGCCGAUGUCGGAUUAGCUAGUUGGCGGGGUAAAGGCCCACCAAGGCGACGAUCCGUAGCUGGUCUGAGAGGAUGAUCGGCCACACUGGAACUGAGACACGGUCCAGACUCCUACGGGAGGCAGCAGUAGGGAAUAUUGGGCAAUGGGCGCAAGCCUGAUCCAGCAAUACCGCGUGAGUGAAGAAGGCCUUCGGGUUGUAAAGCCCUUUUGUUGGGAAAGAAAAGCAGCGGGUUAAUACCCCGCUGUUCUGACGGUACCCAAAGAAUAAGCACCGGCUAACUUCGUG
rnacentral:rRNA from 1 species